UUGACCUCGGAUCAGGUAGGGAUACCCGCUGAACUUAAGCAUAUCAGUAAGCGGAGUGAAGGU
rnacentral:rRNA from 1 species